rnacentral:RNase_P_RNA from 1 species
CCAGGCGGCUGGACGGCCGCUGGCCGGGGAGCGAUCCCCGGCUGGAGGAAAGUCCGGGCUCCACGGGAAUGCGGUGCCGGCCAACGGCCGGCGAGGGCGACCUCAGGGAAAGUGCCACAGAGAGCAGACCGCCCGCGCGGGCACGGGGGCGACCCCGCCUACCCCCGCGGGCAAGGGUGAAAGGGUGCGGCAAGAGCGCACCGCGCCCCCGGCAACGGGGGCGGCAUGGCAAACCCCACCGGGAGCAAGGCCGAAUAGGGGCGGCCGGCGGCGUCACGCAGGGGUGAUCCCCCAGCGCUGAUGGCCGCGGGGGCAUUCCCGCCCCGCCGCCCGGGUUGGCCGCGUGAAGCGGGUGGCGACACCCGCUCCAGAGGAAUGGUCGUCCCACCCCAACCAGGGGUGGACAGAACCCGGCUUACAGGCCGCCUGGCGCA